AACAUCACUUGGACAUGGGUUAGUCGAUCCUAAGAGAUGGGGAAUCCUUGUAUCAAGGGUGCACUCUGCAUGAACAUCGAAACAAAAUUGGGUUAGUAUUCCCGAACUGGGACAUGGUGGUGGACGACAAUGUUAGGAAAUCUGGAGAUGUCAUCGGGGGCCUGAGAAGAGUUAUCUUUUAUUUUUAAUGACUUUCCCACCCUGAAAUCGGUUCAACCAGAGAUAGGGUCCAACAUCUGGAAGAGAACCACAUGCCUUGUUGUGUUUGGUGCCCCCUCGACAGCCAUUGAAAAUAUGGAGAACCGAGUACCAUCCAUGGCCGAUUGUACUCAUAUCUGCCUCCUUAG
rnacentral:ncRNA from 1 species